rnacentral:lncRNA from 1 species
ACUCUCGGAAGGGCUCGGCCACCCGGAGCCUCGUCACGAGUCUUACCCAGGGUUCGGAGCGGGCCUGCAAGAAGGGGCAGGCCAGGCUGGGGCUGCAAGGCAGGGUCUUCCCUUGGAGAAGGGACCUGACUCUAUUAUUAAGAGAACGAAAGAGGCACUUGCCCUACAGGUGUUGGCUGCGUGGCCUUGAAAAGCUUUGUUCCAGUUUCCUUAUCUGUGAAACACGAAUGCCAACCACACUGACCUCAGGGAAACGUUGCGGAAGCCCAGAGGUAAGGGACUCAGCACAGUGCAUAGCCUGAAGUAAAUGCUGAGUCAAUGUUAGCUCUCCCACCUACAGCAUCCUCCGAGGCUCGGUCCCCUCUGCCCACAGAUCCCUGUCAUCACUGCAGAACGGGCUGCACUUGGCUGCUGGCAGCCUGAGACCCCUGCCCAACACCCACCGCCGGCCUGGCAGACUGCUCCAGAAGGCAGGAGCCGCGUGGGAACAGGCAGGAUAUUUUUAGGGCCAGGAAGAGGCAGAAAUUUCAGACUCUGGGUGUGAGACCACGUCCACUGCUGCCCAGGGACCAUGCUCGUCACAGCCCGAGACCACGUCCACCGCAGCCCAGGGACCACGCCCAGAACCGCCCCUGACCACGUCCGCCGCAGCCCGGGGACCACGCCCGCCGCAGCCCGGGGCCACGCCCACCACAGCCCCGGACCACCAUCAUCGCAGCCCUGGGACCACGCCCUCCAUAGCCCAAGGCCACGCCCAUCACAGCCAAAGACCACGCCCAGAACAGCCCCGGACCACGCCCGCCGCAGCCCGGAACCGCGUCCUCCUCUGAGAGCCUGUUACGCAGCUGCCAGGAGCAGCAGCGCCUGCGCCUUUUUGGCCGAUUACGGUACAGAAACUAAAGGUGGUUCUGAGAAAGCCCAUCACCCCUUCCAGAGAAACCGCGAUGCCAUGGGGCGGACCCCGCCUCCCUGCCCCAGCUGCCCUGGCCUGCACUCCCUAGGGGCCCCUUGUACUUUACAGAUGCUCUGACCGGUCUAAUCGGCCCCAGGCCGGGAGAGGCAGCAGAGCCAUUCGCAGGCCACGCUCUCUGCGCGGGUGCCCUGUGUGCUGCAGGGCUGAGGGCCAAGGCCGAGCCUCUCUCUGCUGUCCAGCCCAGCACAACGACCCUCGCCGGCCUUUGGGGUCUUAGAAUGCAGAUUCCCUGGGAGAGGGAAACUCGUUAAAUGACAAUCCCUCAGUAAAAAUGUGGUUGUGAGCUAAAUCCUUAUAGCCGGUGACGGGGUGACAAGCAGCAACUUCAUGGAAUCGGAAAGCGCGAAACUCCCAAGGUGAAAAAGCCGCUGGGAUGAUACAGAGCCUGCCUCCUGCUGAGAAUCAUCUUAGGAAUUAAAUAGCCCAUACAACAAUCUCAGAGCACCGAGCGGGUGCUGCCCCUAAGGGAACAUCAGUUUGGUCUCACUUGCCGAGGUUCCCUAUCCAGGCUGCCCUCCUGGGAAAAUGCAGUCCGGGGCCCUAGGGAGUGCAGCCCAGGGCGCGGGGACAGGGAGGCGGGGUCCGCCCUAUGGCAUCGCGGUUUCUCCGAAAGGGAAGAUGGGCUUUCUCAGAACCACCCUUAGUUUCUACACUGUAAUCAACCCCAGAUGUGGGGUCACCCAGUGCCAGCUCUGGGGUCACAGAGCUGGCCUCCCUGGUUAGGACCCUGCAGCCUUUAACUCCUUUGCCCCGUUCCUGUAAUCAUUAUGGGUCAGGACGGGCCUGCUGGCCUUGGGUGCAGACGCGGGGUGGGUGUGCAGCACAGGCUAGUGAAUCUGAACAUAACUUUGGAAGUUGAAUCUCAGCCAUCCGUGGCCCUUCAAGAGCCUGGGGAUGCUGGAGUGUCCCUGCCCUCUAGGAAGGUGGAGGUAAACUGAGGCUGUAGGCGUGCCUAAUGCAAACAUGUUUAAACCACAGAAUGGACAUGCUCCUGGGUCCUCCGGCUGAGAUGAGGUAACAGUGACCACCCACAGCCUCAUCGUGGAGCACCUUCUGUGCAGGCACUGAGCACACUCACAGAAAUGACAUGCUGCUCUGUGGGAAACUGAAGCCCAGGGAGGUUAAGUGCCCUGCCUAAGGUCACCUUUUGAGAGAGUUCAGUGUUAGUAAGAAGCCAUCUUUUGGCGGGGAGCGGUGGCUCACGCCUGUAAUCCCAGCACUUUGCACUUUGGGAGGCCGAGACAGGCAGAUCACCUGAGGUCAGGAGUUUGAAACCAGCCUGAUCAACAUGGAGAAACCCUGUCUCUACUAAAAAUACAAAAAUUAGCUGGGCGUGGUGGCACAUGCCUGUAAUCCCAGCUACUCAGGAGGCUGAGGCAGGAGAAUCUCUUGAACCCAGGAGGCGAAGGUUGCAGUGAGCCAAGAUCACACCAUUGCACUCCAGUCUGGGCAAGAAGAGCAAAACUCCAUAAAAAAAAAAAAAAAAAAAAAAAAAAAGCUCUCUUUCCUGAGACAUGCAGACCCUGUUGCUAUGGCCCCCAAUGGUGGCAGCAGGACAGGAGUUACUCACCGUGGUGUCAGGUCAAGGCUCGGGGAGUCAGAGGGUGGGCAGUGGGCACUGGCAGAGGUGACUGAGACUCCCAGCUGGGCCUCCCAUCACACAGCAGCUCCCAAAGGCAGCUGGCAGCCAGGUUGAAAAGGAUUAUCUAAACAGGGGUUCUUGGUUUCCUGGCAGCAAUGCAAUGUCCCUCAGCAACUGGCCAUGUCACCUGACCUAGCUGCAGGAGCAGAGAAAAUCUCCAGCCCCCCCGCCCCCGGGCCCUCAUCAUUGCACCUGGGUACAUGCAUGUGUGGCAGAGGUAAUACACAAAGAACUGACGUGGCAAAUUCUGGGUACCAUUUUACAUUUCCUUUCAUCCUCCAGAACCCUGAUGAGGAUCAGGAAAUUGACAUGCAUAUGAGGCCAAUUAAUUUUCCCAAGGCCACCUAGCAAAUAAGUGGCAGAGAAUAGGCAUGUCUCACUCCAAAUCCUGUGUUAUUUCCAUCCUCGCUCCAUCUGUUCCCUGGAUGAUCUUUCUACCUCUACCUUCCUGGCUGGCAUUGGUACUGGACUCUUCAUCAUUAUCAUAGUCUCCAUCAAUAUCAGUCAACAUAUCUUUAUUAUCUUCAUGUCUUCAUCACUAUUACCAUCACCCUCACCCUUAUCUCAUCAUCAUCACCAUCACCAUCAUCACAUUACCACCAUCACCAUCACCAUUGUCAUGAUCUGUUUAAUGCUACUAUAACAGAAUACCUGAGACUGGGUAAUUUAUAAAAAACAGAGAUUUAUUUCUUACAGUUUUUGAGGCUGUGAAGUUCAAGUUCAAGGUGCCAGUGUCUUGUGAGGGUCUUCUUGCUCGUCAUGCCAUGAUGGAAGGUGGAAGGGCAAGACAGCACAUGUGAGAAAGAGAAGGGAAGGAGGCCAAACUCAUCCUUUUAUCAAGAACCCACUCCCAAGAUAACUAACCCACUUUCACUUCCAUUAUAACACCAUUAAUUCAUUCAUGAAGAAAGAGCCCCCAUUACCUAAUCACCACUUAGAGGUCUCACCUCUCAACACUGUUGCAUUAGGGAUUAAGUUUCCAAUACAUGAACUUUAAGAAACACGUCCAAACCGUAGCAGCCAUAUCAUCACCACCACUUUUGUUAUUACCACCAUCAUUAUCAUCACUAUCUUCAUCAGCACCAUCCAUCACUAUUAUCAUCAUCACUAUCAUCAGCACCAUCAUCACUGUCAACAUCAUCAUCAUCAUCACUAUCAUUAGCACUUCAUUACCAUCAUUAUCAUCAACACCAUCAUCACUAUCAUCAGCACCAUCACCACCAUCAUUAUCAUCAUCACCAUCACUAUCAUCAACUCCAUCAUCACUGUCAGCACCAUCAUCACCAUCAUUACAUCACUAUCAUCAGCACCAUCAUCACUACCAUCAUCACCAUCAUCAUCCUCCUCUUCACCAUUAUCAUCACCACCAUCAUAUCAUGUUGUGAUGGUGAUUAUCCCAUAUUAAAUCAAACUCCCCACUGAUUUCUCAUCACUCUUAAGAUAGAUAAAAACCAAAAUCUUGGUCUUAAUGCACAAGCCCUACAGCAGCCCAUCUGUGUUAGCACAUUCUUACAUUGCCAUGAAGAAAUACCUGAGGCUGGGUAAUUUAUAAAGAAAAUAGUUUCAUUUUGGCUCACAGUUCUGCAGGCUGUACAGGAAGUGUGGUACCAGUGUCCUCUUCUGGUGAGGGCCUCAGGAUGCUUACAGUCAUGGUGGAAGGCAAAGGGGGAGAAGGCAUGUCACAUGGCGAGAGUGGAAGCAAGGUGUGGGGGGAGGUCCUAGACUUUAAAACAACCAGAUCUCACAUGAACUAACUGAGUGAGAGCUCACUUACCACCAAAAGGAUGGUGCCAAAUCAUGGGAUCUGCCCCAGGACCCAAUUACCUCCCACCAGGCCCCACCUUCAACAUUCAGAAUCACAUUUCACCAUGAGAUUUGGAUGGGACAAACAUCCAAACUAUAUCACUAUCCCUUGUCCCUCCCACAUCAAUCCUCUGUGCUCCAGCUCUCUUGCACCCCUUCUACUCGUUAAAGAAUGCACAACCUUUGUUAUCUGGGGACAUUGCUACCCUCUUCGCACAUUUCACUUCUGCUCAGCCAGAUCUCAGUUUGAAUGACUCUUCUGGAAAAUGUCUCCUGAUGCUUAGAAUGGACCUCAGCUCCCUGCUUUAUACAGGCAUACCUCAGAGAUAGUGCAGGUUUGGUUCCAUACCAGCACAAUAAAGUGAAUAUCACAAGAAAGCAAGUCACAUGAAUUUUAGUUUCUCAGUCCAUGUAAAAGUUAUGUUUACACUCAACCCAAAUGUCCAUCAAUGAUAGACUGGAUUAAGAAAAUGUGGCGCAUAUACACCAUGGAAUACUAUGCAGCCAUAAAAAAGGAUGAGUUCAUGUCCUUUGUAGGGACAUGGAUGAAGCUGGAAACCAUCAUUCUGAGCAAAUUAUCGCAAGGACAGAAAACCAAACACCGCAUGUUCUCACUCAUAGGUGGGAAUUGAACAAUGAGAACA